rnacentral:lncRNA from 1 species
GAAAACAGCUCCUAGAUAAAAUGUAUUCUUAAUGUUACUAAGAUAAGAUAAGAUUUAAAUUAAAAUAACACCGAACGAGCACCAAAACAGCAAUGCGCGUGUCCUGAAGUGUUUUCAGGCAGGGAGACAAACACUCGCUGUCAGGACGCGCACUAAGGGGUUAAGUCCGGAGCUGUGCUUGAUAAAGGCGAAGUGAUGGACAAUCCGGCCACCUGCACAAACACAGCUCAUUACUGACUCGCAACCAGCGGAGUGACAGCUCUGAGGACGAGUCAUAUGCAGCAGGCGAGGGAAAGGCGGUACUUAGUGGGGCGGAGUCAUAGGUUGACAGGGCCUCCAGCCAAUUACGGUCCCACGCUAGGGAAGGGGCGGUCACCGAGGGCGGAGCCUGUGGUCUGCGAGCGCUGCCCAGCGCGAGGCAGAGCGGAGUCUCGUGUUUGGAGCUUCCCGGAGCGCACGGCUCGCGAGUUCGGUGCCCAACUUUCUGACGGCACAACUUGAACUAAAACAACCGCAAAUUUUAUAAAAAGAAUCACGACGAAAGGGGGAGGACCGAAAACUUCUUUUUUUAGUGUGUGGCCCUGCUAUUUUUUUUCUUAAGAAAAGAUAGGAAGAGAGCGAACGGACAGACGGAAAGCUUGUUUUUGAAAAGGACAUUUGAAAAGCUGGCGAGCCGCUCUCCGGGGAAUCUCGCCGACUUCUCUGCGCCUUGGGGGGCUGCCGAGCUGCCGGCUUCUCGGCUCCCCGGAGCUGACGAAGCGACACCCCCGAGCGCCGCGGCCCCUGUCCGGACUCCCCCCUCCCGCCCGGGCGGCCAGGGCGCAGCGCGCGGAGCCACGGCGGUCCAGCCCGUCGCGCUGAACUGAUGCUCCGGAGAAAGAGCGAGUUUCCCUCGCUGGUCCGCUUGUGCGUGGAUCCGGGACCCCCGCGCCGGGCGCAGGACUGAGUUUCGGGCGCGUUGCUGGAGGGGUUCGGGGGUUCGUGUUGGGAGGACGAUAAAACAGCAGCCCCACGGCAGAGAAAUCCGGAUUCGGAGGCGCGUCUGGGACUGGACGGCCCUGCUGCAGGUUUUCAAUAAAAGCACUUUUUUUUUCACAAACAGAACGACCUCUCCCCCCCCAGUACAGACCCUCACCCCCCUCCUGUGUGACAGGACACGGGCGAACGGCCUCGGCGAUUUGCAGAAGAGGGAUUAGACGCUUUAACACGGCUAAAUCCCCGCAUUUAAAUCGGAACCGCGCCCGGCGCCUUUUGGAUCGAUCAGUCCGACAGAGCCGGGCAGGGAGACGGGCUCUCUCUCAUCCUGAUGCGGGCAGCGCCGCCGCCGGAGACCCUCCUUUCCUGCUGACUUCUUCUCCCGAAGUAUUUCCAGCGACUCUUUUGCCCCGCGAUCGGCUUGGGGUGGUGUCCACCCUCCUGUGCCGCGGGCGUCAUGGGCUCGGGAGCCGGGGGCGUGCUGGCCCUGCUGUGGGCGCUGUGGCUGGGCCCGGCCGGGCUGGCCGGAGCGGUGGAAGAGACCCUCAUGAACACCAAACUGGAGACGGCAGACCUCAAGUGGACAAACUACCCCCGCAGUGACCCGCAGGUAGGCCAGAGAUCUGGGGCACCAUGCCUAAGGGCGCUAGUGGGGUGUCUGUAGGUAUGGGGAUCAGAUCUGGGGGUGUUACUGGGGAGUCUGUGGGGGUGUGGAUCAGAUCUGGGG